CUCCGUUGAUGAGGUCCCAAUGGGAGGUGGCUGUGCAGGGGCGGGGCAGACUCUACUGGCUGCUCCUGGAAGAUUCUGGAAACUGCCAACUUUGGGGGCGGUUGUGUAACACUUAUAUGGCAGGAGUGAGUUCUCCCCACAACAGACAUUGCUUAUACUAUGAAGAGCUAUUUAUUCUGAUAUCCACCAGAAUGACUGAUUAAAUAAACAGACAAACCAGUAAAGGCCUUUAUUUGCAUGACAUGAUGGUGGACUGUAGGUCUUCCAUAAAGUGUUUGCCUUCUGUACAUUUGGUAAUUGCGGCUCACAGCUCGCACACCAGAGAUUGGGGUACACACUAGGCUACUCCAAGAUGAAUUUGGUUCUAGAUCAGAUUAUCUUUAGACUCAGAUUGUUGCCCUGGUUUACAAUUCAAUUACUUUGGAUGAAACAAUGGACCUGAUGAAUUGCCUUGGUCAGAAAAGCUGCCAAUGUCAUCACAUUGGCCCUCAUUUAUCAUUCUUGCGUAGAAACGGGCGUAUAUGUUGGCACAAGAUUUUGCUUACACUCCUCUCACCGCCUGAUUUAUGAAGCUGUGCUUACCUUUAAAACCCAGGUGUACGCAAUACCUGCCCUUGAUAAAUGCCGCGGCUGAAAACGAUCGUCAUUAGAAUAACACGCCCCUAUAUAUUCAAGUCUCUGCUUCCCCCACGCCCUCAUUUUACGCCAUGGACACACGGAAGACGGCAAAAAAGAGAAACUUCUCUGACGUGGAGAUUGAGACGAACACCAGGGAGGUAGAAAGAAAUAAAAUUGUUUUAUUUGGCAGUUUAAAAAGUGGAAUAAAAGGCGCCCACAAAAACAAAAUAUGGACCCAAAUUACGAGUGCUGUUAAUAGCGUGGGGUUGAGAAGCGCACUCCAGCAGAGGUAAGAAUGUUUUAAUGCUUAAUACAAGCUAAACAUGAGUUCUUUAUUGCUUAAUAUAGACAAAUCAAGUUAAGCAUGAGUUUUUUUGUUUAUUGUAGGUGGAAAAAAAGUGGUCCGAUUCAAGGAUCGCCAUAAAGAGGAGCCAGAGUCAGACUGGGGGAGGCCCACCGGAUCCAAGUCUCCAGCUGACACUGAACGAGGAGCGGGUGGCAGCCCUCAUCUGAACGUUGUCUUUGGAAGGUAUCACCGGUGGGGGAGAUACCGACGACAUUCAUGAUGGCACUGCAGGCCCCAGCACUCUCGAGGCAUCUCCCCCUCAGCCCAUCCAGGAGCCUGAGCCUAUCCUUGCGCCAGAGCCUGAGCAGGUGCAAGCGGGGGAAGCCGAGUCCCGUCCACCAGCCUCCCGUGCGCCACGGCCAAGGGUCCUGACAGAUGAGGUCCUGGAAAGACAGAAAUUUAUAGACUACUGGUCGAAAUUAACCAUUCAUUAGUGUCAA
ensembl:lncRNA